rnacentral:piRNA from 1 species
UGAGCUAUGAUGGUGUCACCGCACUC